rnacentral:rRNA from 1 species
GUGCCAGCAGCCGCGGUAAUACGUAGGGCGCAAGCGUUGUCCGGAAUUAUUGGGCGUAAAGAGCUCGUAGGCGACUUGUCACGUCGGGUGUGAAAGCCCGGGGCUUAACCCCGGGUCUGCAUCCGAUACGGGCAGGCUAGAGUGUGGUAGGGGAGAUCGGAAUUCCUGGUGUAGCGGUGAAAUGCGCAGAUAUCAGGAGGAACACCGGUGGCGAAGGCGGAUCUCUGGGCCAUUACUGACGCUGAGGAGCGAAAGCGUGGGGAGCGAACAGGAUUAGAUACCCUGGUAGUCCACGCCGUAAACGUUGGGAACUAGGUGUUGGCGACAUUCCACGUCGUCGGUGCCGCAGCUAACGCAUUAAGUUCCCCGCCUGGGGAGUACGGCCGCAAGGCUAAAACUCAAAGGAAUUGACGGGGGCCCGCACAAGCAGCGGAGCAUGUGGCUUAAUUCGACGCAACGCGAAGAACCUUACCAAGGCUUGACAUAUACCGGAAAGCAUUASAGAUAGUGCCCCCCUUGUGGUCGGUAUACAGGUGGUGCAUGGCCUGUCGUCAGCUCGUGUCGUGAGAUGUUGGGUUAASUCCCGCAACGAGCGCAACCCUUGUCCUGUGUUGCCAGCAUGCCCUUCGGGGUGAUGGGGACUCACAGGAGACCGCCGGGGUCAACUCGGAGGAAGGUGGGGACGACGUCAAGUCAUCAUGCCCCUUAUGUCUUGGGCUGCACACGUGCUACAAUGGCCGGUACAAAGAGCUGCGAUGCCGCGAGGCGGAGCGAAUCUCAAAAAGCCGGUCUCAGUUCGGAUUGGGGUCUGCAACUCGACCCCAUGAAGUCGGAGUUGCUAGUAAUCGCAGAUCAGCAUUGCUGCGGUGAAUACGUUCCCGGGCCUUGUACACACCGCCCGUCACGUCACGAAAGUCGGUAACACCCGAAGCCGGUGGCCCAACCCCUUGUGGGAGGGAGCUGUCGAAGGUGGGACCAGCGAUUGGGACGAAGUCGUAACAAGGUAACC